rnacentral:tRNA from 1 species
AAAAGAUUAGUUAAAUUAUAACCCUAGUAUGUCAUACUAAAAUUAUUGAAUAUUCAAUAUCUUUUG